GUCAGUCUGUUUUCUACUUCCUAAUAUUGACUUAAGAAUUGAUAUCUUUUCAUGUCUUUUGUUCUUUUCUAAUGUGUCAUGAACCGAUGUGAUGGAUGGAACAGAGUGAUAAUAAAUAUUAUUGAUUAGGCCUUCAAUAAAGAGCUGCACUGCAGGAAUGACUAGAGCAAAUGGGCAUUUCUAGAAGGACAAGCUCAUGUGAGGAGGAGGUACAGACAGAGCACAGAAGAAGUGGUCAGGGAGACCUGCUGUUCAAAGAAACAUUUUUGCUUGCAUUGGUAAAGUUGAAAUCUCUCUUGGAAGCUGGAACAGCCUCCUAAAUGUUGUUACGGUCACAAAAGCUUGAAAGUCAAGUACACUUACAAAAGAAAAUAGAAAUCUGAUGAGAUGGCACCUGGCAGGGAAAACAGAACCUUGGACCAACCAACAAAUGGCGUAUUAAUCUGAUAAAGUACACAUGAAAUGGGAGUUCUGUCAUAGUCCACACCCAACAUGAACACCAUGAGCCAAUCUCUGAGGUGGAUUCCUGUCCCAGGCCUUUUUGUUGUCAAUGGGCUGUAGUGACUCAGAGCCCAUUCUGCGGUAUAUUGAAAUUCCAUAGUAAGUCAAAAGAUGCUCUGUACCAUUUGAUCUCUCUCCAAAAACAAGCAGACUUGACACAGCCCCAGCAUUCCUCUUUGGAGGGAAGCCAGAGGCUCUUUUCCAAACGCCAUUUGUGCCUCUCUGGCCCUCCCUGGCAGCCCUUGCUCCAGCCAUCGGGUUGAAUGCUGACCGGUUCUAUGUUUCCCCUUUUGUUUGCUCCCAGGGUAGUGCAGGCAGGAUGGUGACAUCUUCAGAUGGGCUCCUCUGGAGAGCCCAGCCCCAUGACGCUGAGGUGUGAGUUUUAGGGUUUGCUUUUCAGAGCCUUCUGCCAGCCCGUGGGAUGGCCGAGCACAGUGCGCUGACCCUCUUCAGCUCCGCGCUGGUCCUUUAGGUUAGACAGGAUCCUUCCUCCAUGCCCGGAUUUCCUCUCCUGCAGCUCAGCUGGGCAAUGAGGGUGGGGCCGUGAAGUCCAACCUGUUGGUGCUGGCUCCACUCAGCCACAUUAGGCGACCGUGCUGGCACCACAGCUGGGGCUUGGCAGGACCAGGGCACACCCCGUGCUCACCAGGCCUGGAACGGGACCUGAAGAUCAGCGGCCAGGAAAUGGUGACAGACAGAGGCAGAGAAAGAUGGCCCAGGAGAGAGAAGCGGUCAGGAGGCCGGACUGAGUGCAGCAUGUAGUUCAGAAAGAAUGAAAGAUAGUGGGGUGAGGGUCAGUUUCCAGUUUGCAUGAGUCCGCCUCUCCUUUCCAUUUCCCUGCUCUUCUCCCCUCUCCCUUUCCCCGCCUUUUCCUUCCCUUGCUUUUCCUCCGGUCCUUUCCAAGAGGGUGAAAAGCUAUGCGGUGAUCUCAAGGCUUUCUGGCCUCUGAGCUAGUAGUGGAUGUUUCUGCUCAAUGAAUCACUUCAUGCUGCUUGCUGAUGGAGCUUUUCAAAGGCUGUGAGGUAACAAGCACCAUUAUCUUCAGCGAUUAUGAGCGGCAGUCAUGAUGUCGGCUGGUCAUUAUUAUUGUUUAUUGUUCGCAGAGUACCUUGCAC
rnacentral:lncRNA from 1 species